rnacentral:sRNA from 1 species
ACGGAUCUGCUCGUCCCGUGCCUGUGGCAAAAUUCCGGUGGCCUUAAGCAUUUUCGAGGGAGCUGGCUCUGAUCGGAUCCUGGUCUGAUUACCUGGUGCCCACCUGUACACACAGGUCCUCGGGAAUUAAACGCCUCCACGGAUGCUGCGGUCCCCGU